GGGAUCUACCGGAAUGGGGAGGGGCUCAUCGGGGGCGGGGUUUAGACUCCCCGAGGCUACGGUGCAGCAGCCGGGGACGGGCCUAGUGAAAAGGGGCGGGAGAUCACGGCCCGCUGGCGGCAGUCACCGGAGCGAGUGGACCGGGCGGCCGACCGAGGGGCGGACGCACGGCGCGGCAGACGUCUGGGGACUGCAGGCGGCGCCGUGUCCAUCGCCAUGACAGAUCAGACCUACUGCGACCGCCUGGUGCAGGACACGCCUUUCCUGACAGGCCACGGGCGCUUGAGUGAGCAGCAGGUGGACAGGAUCAUCCUCCAGCUGAACCGCUACUACCCACAGAUCCUUACCAACAAGGAGGCGGAAAAGUUCCGGAACCCCAAGGCGUCCUUGCGUGUGCGGCUCUGUGACCUCCUGAGCCACCUGCAGCGGAGUGGCGAGCGGGACUGCCAGGAGUUCUACCGAGCCCUGUACAUCCACGCCCAGCCCCUGCACAGCCGCCUGCCCAGCCGCCACGCUCUGCGUAAGUUUCACAUCGCCAGCCACGCAUGCUUGGUGCUGGCCCAGGGAGAGCACCCCAGCCUGCUGUUGAUGGCAUGGAUGUCCUCCAGACCAUCCAAGUCUGCUGCAGCCCAGGCCUGGCAUCCCCUCUCACCCAGCCACUCGCUAGAGGCCACCCUGAGGGGAGAGUGUGGCAGGCUCAGGCAGUGCAGACGUCAGCCUCUGUCUCCACUCCCUCUCCUCCGUCUCUCUCAUGGCAGUUUCCACGCAGAAGGGGGCAUCCUGUACAUCUACUCUUGCUCUUCCUUUUGUAGCCUCAUUCCAGGGGGAUCCCUUCAUAUCUACGUGGGUAGCAGCCUUGUUCCCACAGCUGCAUGACGCUCCUAGGCGGUCCCAGCUGGAAUUACCCAACCCCAUGACAGGCCCUUUCAUUGCAGCGAUCUGCACACGUGCGGGUGUUUCCACAGGGCAUUGCCGGGCACGGGUGGCUGGUCCCAAGCACGUGCAUUUCGGUUUUGAGGUUCCUGUCCCCAGGCGGCAUGCGGUCAGGCUCCGGGAGUCAUGUGGAUGCCAGUAGCCGGGGCCCUCAGAACUGCUAAGACCUGGGGGACACAUCAAAGCGAAGAUGGCAGCUUGGAUCUGACGCCUCCAUGCUCAGGGCCCUGGAGGACGGGUUGCUGCCCCUCGACAUUCAGACAAUAGGACAGAGACCAGAGGGACUGGACGGGGCUGGCUCAUCCUAGGCUACUGGACUGGGGUCUCUCACCCCCUGGAGGCCUCCCAGCCUCCACAGGACACAAUGCAGAUGGUGGGCAGGGAGAGCUCAAGGGCAGGCCCAGCCCCAAAGGUAGGACUGUCUCUCCCUCCCCAGCCACGAGUAUGCCUCAGGGGGCUUUCAGAACCAGGCAGGGCCAAGCCUUGGCCCUGCUGGAGGUAGAGCAGCUUCUAUGGCUCCCAGGUGCCUAAAAGUCUCCAGCACGUCACAGGCUAGAGAGCCUCCCAGGGAGGCCUGGGCAGAAAGCUCCGGCCAACUGCACCCAGUGAGGCAGCCACCAUGCUGACAGCACCCACGCUGUCCGCAGCUAUGUUCGUGCCAUGUUCGGUGCCUGUGGCCACCAGGGUGCAAUGGCCCUCCGAUGCCCAUGGCCCUUGAAGUCACAAGAACUGGACCAGAGGAGAGAACCCAGACUGUGCAUAGUUCCUAAGGAGGGCUGGCCUCAUGUCCCACGGUCUGGUCCGGCCUGGCAGCCUCGGGAGGCAGUGAUGGCCUGGGCUUCCUGCAGGGUGACCGGCUUGCCCUCUGGCCCUGCCCAUUGACUGACUAACUGUGCUCUGUGGUUUUGUUUCCAGAGAACUCAGAUUGCACAGAGCUAGACUCGGGCAGCCAGAUCAGCGAGCUGAGUGACAGGGGACCCAUGAGCUUCCUGGCUGGCCUGGGCCUUGCCGUGGGACUGGCCCUGCUCCUGUACUGCUAUCCGCCAGACCCCAAGGGCCUGCCAGGGACCCGGCGCGUCCUUGGCUUCUCACCUGUCAUCAUCGACAGACAUGUCAGCCGCUACCUGCUGGCCUUCCUGGCAGAUGACCUGGGGGGGCUCUGACACACCCCAGACCCAGGGCCUCCCCUGCCACUCAACCAAAGAGUCCUCCAGCCAGCCCAACAAGGGCUGCAGCUUCUUUUUCUAAAUGCUUAUUUUUCAUUAUUUAUAAUUUGUGUAAGAAACGCAUCUUCACCUUACAAGGUGCUGACCCAUAUUAAAUAUUCAAGUUCCGUCA